rnacentral:rRNA from 1 species
CUACGGGUGGCUGCAGUGGGGAAUAUUGCACAAUGGAGGAAACUCUGAUGCAGCAACGCCGCGUGGAGGAUGACACUUUUCGGAGCGUAAACUCCUUUUAUAUAGGAAGAAGAUGACGGUACUAUAUGAAUAAGCGCCGGCUAACUCCGUGCCAGCAGCCGCGGUAAUACGGAGGGCGCAAGCGUUACUCGGAAUCACUGGGCGUAAAGAGCGUGUAGGCGGAUUAAAAAGUCAGAAGUGAAAUCCUAUAGCUUAACUACAGAACUGCUUCUGAAACUCUUAAUCUAGAAUAUGGGAGAGGUAGAUGGAAUUAGUGGUGUAGGGGUAAAAUCCGUAGAGAUCAGAAGGAAUACCGAUUGCGAAGGCGAUCUACUAGAACAUUAUUGACGCUGAGACGCGAAAGCGUGGGGAGCAAACAGGAUUAGAUACCCCUGUAGUC